AUGCAAAGAGCCGCCACAAUCAACACAACACAAUACAACACAUCAAAUAUAUUAGAGUGCCUCUGGGAGAAAAUGCAUGGGGUAGUCAUCAUGCCCGCGGGACUUUUGUAUGGAACAUUCCAUGGUUUAUUAGAGAUCCGAUUUUCUAAUGUCCCGAUGUCUCAUAUCCAUGCAUGUCAAACCAUGCAUCUCUCUCCGGUUCUUUUCCUACGAUCUCCUCUACUUAUCCCGUUGAACCUAACUAUUGCUCUACAAGUGAAUUGCGGUUUAGAAGUACCGAUGGGAAAUCUGUUUGGUGAGGUUGAGUAG
rnacentral:rRNA from 1 species